AAAACCAUUCAAGUGGAUCUUAAGUUCGUCAAACUAUUGCACUGUAAAAAAAGUGCACCAAAAAUAGAAAUUAAUAUUACCUAAAGUCGAUUCCUCCUAAGUAAAACAAAAAGUGAUUUUUCAUUUUUUUUUCGUUUUGAAAAACACGCAAAUGAAUGUCCCUCAAAAAAAAGAGAACACUCCCUCUCAACACUGAAUGUAUGAGUUAACUCUAAGGCUACUUCUUAUUUGUUGAAAGAGCGGACCGCUCAGAGUCUUUUUAAAAAUAUCUGCAAGCUGCUCCUUGGUGUUUACAUAGUCAACUACUAACGUUCCAUCUUGCUUCUUUGCUCGAACAUAAUCAUAUUUGACAUCCAUAUGUUUGAUGCGCUUAUGAAACUCUUGAUUGGUGAUAUGCUUGAUGGCUCCUUGGCUAUCACAGAGGAGCAUUGUUCGGUUUGAUUGUUUACAACCAGCAUCCUUCAAUAAACGGUGAUGCAUUCAUGAAAUUUCUUUUGCGUGCCUCGCACAUUGAGAGUUUGAGACAUAUUCCGCUUCAGUGGAUGAUAGCGAAACCCAUUUUUCUUGCUGAGUGCUCCAUCUCAGUGGCUCAUUGUUUAUCAUGAGUAUAUAUCCGGUGGUCGAACGACGGGUGGAAUUAUCUCCGGCGAAAUCUAAUGCCCUUUAGGUAAGCCAGAAUUCUUUUCAAAGCAUAUUAUCCCAAUGAACACGUCGGGGGGGAUUGCAGAACUGUGCUACUUGAUUCAAAGCAAACACCAAUGUCUGGUCACGUGCAAACCAUGGCAUAUUACACCAGGCUACCAACAGCUUCACGGAAAGGAAAAAUAUCAAUCUCAAGAUCAUCUUUAAAGGUGAACUCUGUUAAAUUGAGUGAGAGUCAUCUGGAACAAGUUUUGUAAUGCAUUCUGCCAUUCCAAAUCUCUUUAUGAUUUUUGCAAUAUAUUGUUCUUGUGAUAAGUGAAUAAAAAAUUUCUCGAGGCCGCUUGCGGCCGAGGAGCAAUUGGAAUUGUGGAUAAUUUCAGAAUGCGACGUUUUAACUGUGUUGACCUUGUAUUUUCAGCUAAUUACCAAGCAAAAAAACAAAAGAAACAAAGGAACAUCGGUCUCUUCCCCCUUUUGGGUAGCGCCUGGGCCUCAGACUUUUAACCGAAGCUGUUUCGUCCUCUCCUGGUGCCCCCUCGAAAAUGACUCCUGUCGUGAGGAAAAAAUUGCGUUAGUAGGCUGCGGGACAGGGUGGGGUUUUAACCAGUUAAAACGUCGCAUUCUUAAAUUAUCCACAAUUCCAAUUGCUCCUCGGCCGCAAGCGGCCUCGAGCAAUUUCUAAUUGUCCAUAAUUGGAAAUGCUCCGUUCUAACUGUGACUUAGACGCACAACUUUAGCCAUUGGUCACUGAUAGGAUCACGUCUAUGACCGACUCUGAGUUAGAGUCACGCUUAUAAAAGCGGGGGAAAACGGAUUCAGUAGUCCAAUUGCCCGUUUUAAGAAUCGUUUCCACUGAAAGACCCUUAUUAAAAGCUUUAGAUGACGCAGCUCCACGUGUUGAGUGCGCUGAAAAGGUAGAUACGUCGACUCCAGCCUCCUUUAGGAGAGACUUAAUCCAUCUUGCCACUGUUCAGGCUCCAAUCGACUUAAACGGCUUUCGCGAAGCGCUAAGGAAUCCGUCACCGAAACGGUUGUCUACCAGGCCGUCUGUUGCCUGGAUAUAGUUUUCCAUGGACGCCACCGGGCAUAAACGGGGGUCACCUGUAAAUCUCUCGACCGUUACCACUGGCAAGGCUCCACUGCGCUGAGAUUUACGCAGCUUCGAUAGAGUGUAGGAGUAUCCCCACUCACCAAAUUGGACCGAACUCCUAGAAAUUGAGGCUAGCUCGGAGACCCGGGCGAAGGUUGAUGACGAUAAAAGAAAGGCGAGUUUUUUAGAAAGGUUCAGCAGGGACAGGUUUGCAUCAUUUCUCAGAUCACUGACAAAAUUCAGCACACUAUCGACACUCCAUGUUGCUACGUAGCGCGGCUUAGGAGGUUUAUUCAAAAAAAUACCUUUCAUCAAUCAAAUUAUGAGGGGGUGGCUACCGACUCCUUUCCCAUCAACUUGUUCCAAAGUGACUGAUAGCAUUGAUCUUAAAAUAUUUACCGAACUGUAAGAUUUACCCAUCAGGUAGGCCACUUGUCAAGAAUUGCAGAAUCGAAUUCAAAUCAUUCGACAAGGGAUCCGAAUGUCUUUGACGGUACCAAUCACUCCAUAGUGCCCAUCCGGUUUCGUAAGCAGCUGAUGUGGACUGACGGUUUCCAUCGAGCAGAAGUUGCGCCACUUCUUCCGAAAGGCCUUGCUCCUGGAAGCGUCUUCCGAGAGUUUCCAGGCGACUAAGAUGAGGGAUCUUGACUUGAUCUGCGGUUGGGUCUCGCCUGUGGCCGAUGUUAGCUGACGAUCGGUUGGAGCCAGAACUACCGGGACGUCGCUCGCGAGCUCCAGGGCAAGCGGGAACCAUACUUGGCUCGGCCAGUAUGGCGUUACCAGCCCCAGAUCCGCCAAUUCCCUCCUGACUUUGGAAAUACAACGAAGAAUUAGGCUGAAUGGUGGGAAGGCGUAAGCUCUUAGGUUUUUCCAGCUGAACGUGAAAGCGUUCACUGCCCAUGCUCCGGGCUCCGGCUGCCAACUAGCAAAUUUGACCAAUUGUGAGCUCCAUGCGGCAGCAAAUAAGUCGACCUCAAUCUUCCAGCGUGAAUUGAUCUGGUGGAAGCUUACUUCCUAAAGCUUCCAAUCACUCUGGUCUUGAAAAACCCUGGACUGAUAAUCUGCCAUAAUGUUAAGACUGCCGGCCAAGUGAACUGCCUUCAAUGAAAGCUGCCUUGCCUCGCACCAGUCUACAAUGGAUUUCGCCGUUGCCGAAAGGCUACGUGACCAUGUACCUCCACACCUGUUAAUAUAAGCUACCGCCGUACUAUUAUACGCAUAGAUUAAAACAUAUGCUCUGGUUGCGCGAGCCGUAAAGCAUUGCAGUGCAUAGAGCACGGCAAUUAGCUCGAGAUGAUUAAUGUGAAGGGGUUUUUCUUCUUAAGUCCAAGGGCCCUGGGCUGUAGAUUUGUCGCAGACCGCCCCCUAACCUAUUAAGGACGCAUCUGCAAAUAUCGUAAUGUCCAUGAACCCAUCCGAGCUCAGCCCAAUUGGUUUCCCAUUAACCUUUAAAAGGUUGUCUCGCCACCAGGCCAAAUCUCAUUUAGAUUCCAUGUCUAAAGGUAUCUUAGCGCUGAGGUCGGAAAGGCGCGACUCGACUAAGAAUCGAUGCUGAAGACGCCUAUAAUACGCUUGAGCGAAGGGACGGCUGAAAUUGCCCAUGAAAAGUUCCCUAUCAAGGAGCUUAGGUCCCACAACGAGACUUUGUCUAGGGACAACAUCUUCCGGCAAGAACCAAUCAUUUUUUCUACUUUGUCCUUCUUGAGGGAAAGCGUCAGACACCGAGAGUCUAUGACCAGGCCCAAAAACUUUCUAGAUUGCGACGGUACGCCCGACGACUUGGCUCUGUUAAUCACAAAGCCUACUGCUUCAAGGAGCUCUACCGUGAAAAGAAAAUCCUUUUCACAUUGAAUCUUGCUUGAACUAAUGAUUAGAAAAUCGUAAAGGUAAACGAUCAGAUUAAUUCCCUUUCCCCGCAAAAAAGAGACAAUAGGCUUAAGCAAUUUAGUAAACGCCCACGGGGCCGAUGAUAGACCAAAAGGUAAGCAGAUGAACUGUAAAAUUUGACCCUCAAAUAAAAAUUUGCAAAAAAGGUUGAUGGUGGGCGUUCACAGGAAUGGAAAAAUAGGCGUCCUUCAAAUCUACUUUAGGGAACAUUUCCCCCCCAAAGAUUAGUUCUUUCAAGUUAGAGAUACCUUCCAUUCUAAAUUUUCUGUAGACAAAAAACUGGUUUAAAUGCUUUAGAUUUGCAAUGGGUCGCAAUACGCCACUUGAUUUCAAGAUCACAAAAAACCCACUUACGAAGCAGUGAUCUGCUUCGCUCACUUUGGCCACGGCUCCUUUCCCCAACAUUUCCAACAACUCUUUCCUACAAACUGCGAGCUGGAUGGGUUCCAUUAAAGGCGUGAAAGGUAUUCUCGGAGCUCUUGGCUCCUCCUUAAAGUCCAAGGAAAGGCCAUUUUUCACUGUAUCCAAGACCCACGGGUCCUUAGUUAAGGACUGCCACAUAGGUAAAAAAAAUUUUACUCGCCCGGCAAAAUAAACGUUCUCCCGCAAGUGGGAACAAGGAAAUAGAUGAUUUGGGCUAUACCUGCCACGCUGGUGGUCGAUGGUUCCACUACCCGGGUAGUUUUCACCUCUGCCCCUCGAAUGGAAUCUGCCGUUGACGGGCCCGCCAAAAGCAGUCCGGCCACGGAUGAAGUUACUUGGGGCCCGAACAUUAUGGCCACCCGAACGGCUCAUACUUCUUAAAUUCUCUGCUUCGCGAGCCGUUCUUACCAUCGAACGGAGAAAACAGCGGCCAAAGAGGUCCCCGCCUUCCUUCACUGAGCAGCGUUCUUUCUCCUCUCAGAGGGAGACAUAACGGCCGCCCGUUUGCCUCAAACCAUUGAGCCUCCGUCUCUUGGUAACCUCCGAGAAGGCGUUUCCCACCAGACUUAGGGCCGUGCUAGCUGCCCGCUUCAGGCUGCGACUGGCGCCUAGGCGAUCUAGUUCAUUUUUUAAAUGAAGAAGGGGACGCACGCCAUCUAUUAUCCUUAACUGAAUUUCAGUAAGUGAUAUCUCCAUUGGGUCGUUUAGCCUGGUAGUCUGAGAACGCAUGUUGCUCCCAUUUCAAGCCGCGAUCAAUCGCCUCUUCAUCGAAGAGUCUAGCAAGGGGGCUUUUAGCUGGAAGGAGCUACCUUCAAAUUUUGGCUCGUAUCGCUCUCUCAGGGCCCUUGAGUCUGAUGAGCUGGCACCCCGCGCUAAAAGUUUCCGCGUCCGCCUCGCUGACUUCUUGUCGACUGAAAAUUCGGUACGAAAAAUAUCCUCGGACUGCCUAUGCCGUGCCUGGCUGGGCGACCGAAUAUCGCGGGAAAAGGAGCGGCUACCACGGCCGAUGAGUGAACUGGAGUGGCUUCGGCGCACCGAAUGCAACCGGCUCCUACGGGAAAUGCGUGAGCGGCCCCUUUGUACUGAGCGUGAGCGGCUUCUACGCAAUAGAUGGGCUCGAUCCCCACGUGGGGCUGGUGAAGACGAGCGUGGCUCCCGGAGGGGCACAUCCAAGGCUGACAAUGACGGACUGCGAGAAACCCGUGAUCCUGAAACGCCUAAGGAACUAUCACUUGUACUGCUUGAAGAGCUUGAACUAGCCAUGAAUGCGCUUGGUAAGUGCCUAAAAAAGUCCGAAGCCCAGGCGCUACCCAAAAGGGGGAAGAGACCAAUCUUUCUUUGUUUCUUUUGUUUUUUGCUUGGUAAUUAGCUGAAAAUACAAGGUCAACACAGUUGUA